CCUUGUACACACCGCCCGUCACACCACGAGAGUUUGUAACACCCGAAGUCGGUGAGGUAACCUUUUGGAGCCAGCCGCCUAAGGUGGGAUAGAUGAUUGGGGUGAAGUCGUAACAAGGUAGCCGUAUCGGAAGGUGCGGCUGGAUCACCUCCUUUCUAAGGAA
rnacentral:rRNA from 1 species